AAAGGGCGCACGGUGGAUGCCUAGGCAACGAGAGGCGAUGAAGGACGCGGACAGCUGCGAAAAACCUCGGGGAGCUGCUAACAAGCUAUGAUCCGGGGGUCUCCGAAUGGGAAAACCCGCGCAGGGACGACCUGCCAUCCUGCAGUGAACACAUAGCUGCAGGAAGCCAACCUGGGGAACUGAAACAUCUAAGUACCCAGAGGAAAAGAAAGCAAAUAGCGAUUCCCCUAGUAGUGGCGAGCGAACGGGGACCAGCCUAAACCGCGCAAGCGGGGUCGUGGGGCCUUCCGCAUGGGAGUCAUAAAGGCAUUGCGUAACAGAAGGCCAUGGAAUGGGCCGCCAAAGACGGUGACAGCCCGGUAUGUGAAACGCGAUGCUCUCCCGGAGGGUACCCGAGUACCACAGGACACGUGAAAUCCGGUGGGAAUCUGGGAGGACCAUCUCCUAAGGCUAAAGACUACUCGUUGACCGAUAGUGAACUAGUACCGUGAGGG
rnacentral:rRNA from 1 species